rnacentral:lncRNA from 1 species
CCGCCUCCUCUGCUAGACUCUCUUUUUCUCCAAGCCUGUAACACAGAGCUCCAGUGGCCAUUCUUAGAGCCUGGAUUACUUCUGUGUAGAAAGUUCUAGGAGGAGGAACAGUGAAGAAGCAUCUGGAAGCCACGGGAGGGGAGAGAUGGCUUCAUCUUCUGCCUUUCCCAGAAGUCCAACUCUUUGUCCAUCCCAGGAAAGGAUUCCCUCGAUCCCCUAGGACCACCACCGGCCCUAUUACAAAAUUUCUCUCAAAGGCAGUAGACUAAUUAAUGGUCACCCUCUUUUAGGUAUGUGACUUAAUCUUGAAGGCUCUGAUUAAGCCAUUGGUGGGCCCAUAAUUUAUUUCUAC